rnacentral:rRNA from 1 species
UACGUAGGGUGCAAGCGUUAAUCGGAAUCAUUGGGUUUAAAGGGUCCGUAGGCGGUUUAAUAAGUCAGUGGUGAAAUCUGGUCGCUCAACGAUCAAACGGCCAUUGAUACUGUUAGACUUGAAUUAUUGUGAAGUAACUAGAAUAUGUAGUGUAGCGGUGAAAUGCUUAGAUAUUACAUGGAAUACCAAUUGCGAAGGCAGGUUACUAACAAUAUAUUGACGCUGAUGGACGAAAGCGUGGGGAGCGAACAGG